GGGUAGUGCUGCAGCUACACAUGCAGUCGAGCGGAUGAGAAGAGGCUUGCUCUUCGAUUCAGCGGCGGACGGGUGAGUAAUGCCUAGGAAUCUGCCUGGUAGUGGGGGACAACGUUUCGAAAGGAACGCUAAUACCGCAUACGUCCUACGGGAGAAAGCAGGGGACCUUCGGGCCUUGCGCUAUCAGAUGAGCCUAGGUCGGAUUAGCUAGUUGGUGGGGUAAUGGCUCACCAAGGCGACGAUCCGUAACUGGUCUGAGAGGAUGAUCAGUCACACUGGAACUGAGACACGGUCCAGACUCCUACGGGAGGCAGCAGUGGGGAAUAUUGGACAAUGGGCGAAAGCCUGAUCCAGCCAUGCCGCGUGUGUGAACAAGGUCUUCCGAUUGUAAAUCACUUUAUGUUGGG
rnacentral:rRNA from 1 species